rnacentral:rRNA from 1 species
ACGAACGCUGGCGGCGUGCUUAACACAUGCAAGUCGAACGGAAAGGCCCUUCGGGGUACUCGAGUGGCGAACGGGUGAGUAACACGUGGGUGAUCUGCCCUGCACUUUGGGAUAAGCCUGGGAAACUGGGUCUAAUACCGAAUACACCUCAUGGACUGCAUGGUUUGUGGGGGAAAGCUUUUGCGGUGUGGGAUGGGCCCGCGGCCUAUCAGCUUGUUGGUGGGGUGAUGGCCUACCAAGGCGACGACGGGUAGCCG